rnacentral:rRNA from 1 species
UACGUAGGGUGCUAGCGUUGUCCGGAUUUAUUGGGCGUAAAGGGCUCGUAGGCGGCUUGUCGCGUCGGGAGUGAAAGCCCGCUGCUUAACGGCGGGUUGGCUUCCGGUACGGGCUGGCUGGAGUGCGGCAGGGAGACUGGAAUUCCUGGUGUAGCGGUGGAAUGCGCAGAUAUCAGGAGGAACACCGGUGGCGAAGGCGGGUCUCUGGACAGUUCCUGACGCUGAGGCACGAAGGCCAGGGGAGCAAACGGG